UCGUAGACCCGAAACCAGGUGAUCUACCCUUGGUCAGGUUGAAGUUCAGGUAACACUGAAUGGAGGACCGAACCGACUUACGUUGAAAAGUGAGCGGAUGAACUGAGGGUAGCGGAGAAAUUCCAAUCGAACCUGGAGAUAGCUGGUUCUCUCCGAAAUAGCUUUAGGGCUAGCCUCAAGUGAUGAUUAUUGGAGGUAGAGCACUGUUUGGACGAGGGGCCCCUCUCGGGUUACCGAAUUCAGACAAACUCCGAAUGCCAAUUAAUUUAACUUGGGAGUCAGAACAUGGGUGAUAAGGUCCGUGUUCGAAAGGGAAACAGCCCAGACCACCAGCUAAGGUCCCAAAAUAUAUGUUAAGUGGAAAAGGAUGUGGCGUUGCCCAGACAACUAGGAUGUUGGCUUAGAAGCAGCCAUCAUUUAAAGAGUGCGUAAUAGCUCACUAGUCGAGUGACACUGCGCCGAAAAUGUACCGGGGCUAAACAUAUUACCGAAGCUGUGGAUUGUCCUUUGGACAAUGGUAGGAGAGCGUUCUAAGGGCGUUGAAGCAUGAUCGUAAGGACAUGUGGAGCGCUUAGAAGUGAGAAUGCCGGUGUGAGUAGCGAAAGACGGGUGAGAAUCCCGUCCACCGAUUGACUAAGGUUUCCAGAGGAAGGCUCGUCCGCUCUGGGUUAGUCGGGUCCUAAGCUGAGGCCGACAGGCGUAGGCGAUGGAUAACAGGUUGAUAUUCCUGUACCACCUAUAAUCGUUUUAAUCGAUGGGGGGACGCAGUAGGAUAGGCGAAGCGUGCGAUUGGAUUGCACGUCUAAGCAGUAAGGCUGAGUAUUAGGCAAAUCCGGUACUCGUUAAGGCUGAGCUGUGAUGGGGAGAAGACAUUGUGUCUUCGAGUCGUUGAUUUCACACUGCCGAGAAAAGCCUCUAGAUAGAAAAUAGGUGCCCGUACCGCAAACCGACACAGGUAGUCAAGAUGAGAAUUCUAAGGUGAGCGAGCGAACUCUCGUUAAGGAACUCGGCAAAAUGACCCCGUAACUUCGGGAGAAGGGGUGCUCUUUAGGGUUAACGCCCAGAAGAGCCGCAGUGAAUAGGCCCAAGCGACUGUUUAUCAAAAACACAGGUCUCUGCUAAACCGUAAGGUGAUGUAUAGGGGCUGACGCCUGCCCGGUGCUGGAAGGUUAAGAGGAGUGGUUAGCUUCUGCGAAGCUACGAAUCGAAGCCCCAGUAAACGGCGGCCGUAACUAUAACGGUCCUAAGGUAGCGAAAUUCCUUGUCGGGUAAGUUCCGACCCGCACGAAAGGCGUAACGAUUUGGGCACUGUCUCAACGAGAGACUCGGUGAAAUCAUAGUACCUGUGAAGAUGCAGGUUACCCGCGACAGGACGGAAAGACCCCGUGGAGCUUUACUGUAGCCUGAUAUUGAAAUUCGGCACAGCUUGUACAGGAUAGGUAGGAGCCUUUGAAACGUGAGCGCUAGCUUACGUGGAGGCGCUGGUGGGAUACUACCCUAGCUGUGUUGGCUUUCUAACCCGCACCACUUAUCGUGGUGGGAGACAGUGUCAGGCGGGCAGUUUGACUGGGGCGGUCGCCUCCUAAAAGGUAACGGAGGCGCUCAAAGGUUCCCUCAGAAUGGUUGGAAAUCAUUCAUAGAGUGUAAAGGCAUAAGGGAGCUUGACUGCGAGACCUACAAGUCGAGCAGGGUCGAAAGACGGACUUAGUGAUCCGGUGGUUCCGCAUGGAAGGGCCAUCGCUCAACGGAUAAAAGCUACCCCGGGGAUAACAGGCUUAUCUCCCCCAAGAGUUCACAUCGACGGGGAGGUUUGGCACCUCGAUGUCGGCUCAUCGCAUCCUGGGGCUGUAGUCGGUCCCAAGGGUUGGGCUGUUCGCCCAUUAAAGCGGUACGCGAGCUGGGUUCAGAACGUCGUGAGACAGUUCGGUCCCUAUCCGUCGUGGGCGUAGGAAAUUUGAGAGGAGCUGUCCUUAGUACGAGAGGACCGGGAUGGACAUACCUCUGGUGUACCAGUUGUCGUGCCAACGGCAUAGCUGGGUAGCUAUGUGUGGACGGGAUAAGUGCUGAAAGCAUCUAAGCAUGAAGCCCCCCUCAAGAUGAGAUUUCCCAACUUCGGUUAUAAGAUCCCUCAAAGAUGAUGAGGUUAAUAGGUUCGAGGUGGAAGCAUGGUGACAUGUGGAGCUGACGAAUACUAAUCGAUCGAAGACUUAAUCAAAA
rnacentral:rRNA from 1 species